CAACAACACAGGCGCAGUAACUCCUUCGUGGAGACUGCUUCCAUUUUCACAAUGUCCAGCUCCACGCUAGAGCUUCGGGGAAAGGGACCGAGGAAGUGACUGGUUCGCCAACUGAAACUCCCUGGGACAGACAAGACUGGGAGCCUUGGUGAAAGGGAGGAGACCCUGUGUCCCCGGUUUUGCCAAGUCAGCCUGGCCCAUCCUCUGACAGCUAAAUCAACACUCUUUAUCCUGUGGCGACUGAUAACGCAUCCACCGCUUCCUGCCAAGGAGGAAAUCCUGAUGGGACAUUAUCAGGGGCGAGACAUCAUCCGUCAGCCGCCGUCACAGGAACCCAGGGCUCAUCCAGACCCCACGCCAAUCUUUCCGCCUUUAUCUGCGCUCCCCAAAUGCCUCAGCCUGUUUGCUGAUAGAGGAAUCCGGCAUCUCCUCUUCUCAAGGACCCGAAAAAGAUUCUUCGAUAGCAAGAAACUAAGCGUGCCUUGCUCAGACCCCAAAGUGCCUUUCCAAAGAAUGGAUGGAAGAGGAACAGAUGCUGCCCUGAAGCUGCCCAUCGGACACGCAAAAGAAAAAGAGAAAACAGACAAGGUGACACCAAGAAGUCGGGAUGAGAAGGUGAAGAGACCCGGGAAAUCAAUGGCGACCUCGGCCAAGGCGAGGACGUGGAGUUCGGAAGGGGGGACGGGGGGGUCCUGAGGCUGCAUAGACGCGCUGCCCUCUGCUCUCCACCUGUGCCCUGCGACCCAUCAGAAGGCGGUCCUUAAGGGGUCAGAGUGCAUGCUGACCACCCCGAGCUGUGCUUUGGACUCAGACUUACAGACACAGUCCCUCCCCGCCGGCUGAAGGCCAAGGACCACCGCUGUGGAAGGCAGAGAAGUGACCUCAGGGAGGUGCAGUCUUGGGGAGCCCUGUCCCCUUGGGUGGGAGGGGCUGGUGAUGUGACCGAUGACACUGCCAUGAGCAGGGGACACUCUGUGGCUAAAGUCAAGAGGUUUUUUUGUUUUUUGGGAUAGAGUUGCUUUAUCAUGUUGUGUUAGUUUCAGGUGUACAGCAAAGUGAAUCAGUUCUACAUAUACUUAUAUCCAUUCUUUUUCAGAGUCUUUUCCCAAAGAGGUUAUGACAGAAUAUUCCAGAGAGGAGUUCUCACUGUGGUACAGGGGAUUAAGACUCUGACUGCAGCAACCCCGGUCACUGUGGGGGCACGGUUUCAAUGCCAGCCCAGCACACUGGGUUAAAGGAUCCAGCAUUGCCCAGCUUCAGCAUGGGUUACAGCUGUGGCUCGGAUUCAGUCACAGGAACUUCCAUAUGCCGGGAGUGUGGAUUUAUAAUGCUGUGCCGAUUUCGGCCAUGCAGCAUAGUGACCAGAAAAACAAUAUAUAAUAUUCUUUAUAUUUAUAUUAUAUAUUCUUUUUCUCAUACUGUUAUUUCACUUCAAUGAAAGUGAAAUAACAUAGAAUAUAUAUAGAUAGAAUAUAUACAUUCUUUUUCUCAUACUGUUAUUUCUCUUCAAUGCCCAAAACCCUUCUGGGACGUGAGCGUUUCUAACCCCGUUUUCCAUGAAGACGCAGAGCGUCUCGAGGGACUUUAAUUACUCCAGGUCCCAGGGGAGCUGAGAUUCAGAGGAUGACCUCCCCGAUCCUGGAAGCUCAUGUCUCUCCCCUCCAUCCGUCACUUCUCAGGCUCCCUCUAGGCCUGG
rnacentral:lncRNA from 1 species